rnacentral:rRNA from 1 species
UUAAGCGACUAAGCGUACACGGUGGAUGCCCUGGCAGUCAGAGGCGAUGAAGGGCGUGCUAAUCUGCGAUAAGCGCCGGUAAGGUGAUAUGAACCGUUAUAACCGGCGAUACCCGAAUGGGGAAACCCAGUGUGAUUCGUCACACUAUCAUUAACUGAAUCCAUAGGUUAAUGAGGCGAACCGGGGGAACUGAAACAUCUAAGUACCCCGAGGAAAAGAAAUCAACCGAGAUUCCCCCAGUAGCGGCGAGCGAACGGGGAGGAGCCCAGAGCCUGAAUCAGCAUGUGUGUUAGUGGAAGCGUCUGGAAAGGCGCGCGAUACAGGGUGACAGCCCCGUACACAAAAGCGCAUGUGUUGUGAGCUCGAUGAGUAGGGCGGGACACGUGGUAUCCUGUCUGAAUAUGGGGGGACCAUCCUCCAAGGCUAAAUACUCCUGACUGACCGAUAGUGAACCAGUACCGUGAGGGAAAGGCGAAAAGAACCCCGGCGAGGGGAGUGAAAAAGAACCUGAAACCGUGUACGUACAAGCAGUGGGAGCACAGGUUUACCUGUGUGACUGCGUACCUUUUGUAUAAUGGGUCAGCGACUUAUAUUCUGUAGCAAGGUUAACCGUAUAGGGGAGCCGGAGGGAAACCGAGUCUUAAUUGGGCGUUAAGUUGCAGGGUAUAGACCCGAAACCCGGUGAUCUAGCCAUGGGCAGGUUGAAGGUUGGGUAACACUAACUGGAGGACCGAACCGACUAAUGUUGAAAAAUUAGCGGAUGACCUGUGGCUGGGGGUGAAAGGCCAAUCAAACCGGGAGAUAGCUGGUUCUCCCCGAAAGCUAUUUAGGUAGCGCCUCGUGAAUUCAUCUCCGGGGGUAGAGCACUGUUUCGGCUAGGGGGCCAUCCCGGCUUACCAACCCGAUGCAAACUGCGAAUACCGGAGAAUGUUAUCACGGGAGACACACGGCGGGUGCUAACGUCCGUCGUGAAGAGGGAAACAACCCAGACCGCCAGCUAAGGUCCCAAAGUCAUGGUUAAGUGGGAAACGAUGUGGGAAGGCCCAGACAGCCAGGAUGUUGGCUUAGAAGCAGCCAUCAUUUAAAGAAAGCGUAAUAGCUCACUGGUCGAGUCGGCCUGCGCGGAAGAUGUAACGGGGCUAAACCAUGCACCGAAGCUGCGGCAGCGACACUGUGUGUUGUUGGGUAGGGGAGCGUUCUGUAAGCCUGUGAAGGUGUGUCGUGAGGCAUGCUGGAGGUAUCAGAAGUGCGAAUGCUGACAUAAGUAACGAUAAAGCGGGUGAAAAGCCCGCUCGCCGGAAGACCAAGGGUUCCUGUCCAACGUUAAUCGGGGCAGGGUGAGUCGACCCCUAAGGCGAGGCCGAAAGGCGUAGUCGAUGGGAAACGGGUUAAUAUUCCCGUACUUGGUGUUACUGCGAAGGGGGGACGGAGAAGGCUAUGUUGGCCGGGCGACGGUUGUCCCGGUUUAAGCGUGUAGGUGUGUGUUCCAGGUAAAUCCGGUUCACUUUAACACUGAGGCGUGACGACGAGGCACUACGGUGCUGAAGCAACAAAUGCCCUGCUUCCAGGAAAAGCCUCUAAGCAUCAGGUAACAUCAAAUCGUACCCCAAACCGACACAGGUGGUCAGGUAGAGAAUACCAAGGCGCUUGAGAGAACUCGGGUGAAGGAACUAGGCAAAAUGGUGCCGUAACUUCGGGAGAAGGCACGCUGACACGUAGGUGAAGUGAUUUACUCAUGGAGCUGAAGUCAGUCGAAGAUACCAGCUGGCUGCAACUGUUUAUUAAAAACACAGCACUGUGCAAACACGAAAGUGGACGUAUACGGUGUGACGCCUGCCCGGUGCCGGAAGGUUAAUUGAUGGGGUCAGCGCAAGCGAAGCUCCUGAUCGAAGCCCCGGUAAACGGCGGCCGUAACUAUAACGGUCCUAAGGUAGCGAAAUUCCUUGUCGGGUAAGUUCCGACCUGCACGAAUGGCGUAAUGAUGGCCAGGCUGUCUCCACCCGAGACUCAGUGAAAUUGAACUCGCUGUGAAGAUGCAGUGUACCCGCGGCAAGACGGAAAGACCCCGUGAACCUUUACUAUAGCUUGACACUGAACAUUGAGCCUUGAUGUGUAGGAUAGGUGGGAGGCUUUGAAGUGUGGACGCCAGUCUGCAUGGAGCCGACCUUGAAAUACCACCCUUUAAUGUUUGAUGUUCUAACGUGGACCCGUGAUCCGGGUUGCGGACAGUGUCUGGUGGGUAGUUUGACUGGGGCGGUCUCCUCCUAAAGAGUAACGGAGGAGCACGAAGGUUGGCUAAUCCUGGUCGGACAUCAGGAGGUUAGUGCAAUGGCAUAAGCCAGCUUGACUGCGAGCGUGACGGCGCGAGCAGGUGCGAAAGCAGGUCAUAGUGAUCCGGUGGUUCUGAAUGGAAGGGCCAUCGCUCAACGGAUAAAAGGUACUCCGGGGAUAACAGGCUGAUACCGCCCAAGAGUUCAUAUCGACGGCGGUGUUUGGCACCUCGAUGUCGGCUCAUCACAUCCUGGGGCUGAAGUAGGUCCCAAGGGUAUGGCUGUUCGCCAUUUAAAGUGGUACGCGAGCUGGGUUUAGAACGUCGUGAGACAGUUCGGUCCCUAUCUGCCGUGGGCGCUGGAGAACUGAGGGGGGCUGCUCCUAGUACGAGAGGACCGGAGUGGACGCAUCACUGGUGUUCGGGUUGUCAUGCCAAUGGCACUGCCCGGUAGCUACAUGCGGAAGAGAUAAGUGCUGAAAGCAUCUAAGCACGAAACUUGCCCCGAGAUGAGUUCUCCCUGAGACUUAGAGUCUCCUGAAGGAACGUUGAAGACGACGACGUUGAUAGGCCGGGUGUGUAAGCGCAGCGAUGCGUUGAGCUAACCGGUACUAAUGAACCGUGAGGCUUAACCUU